AACAACCGAAACGAAACCCCCACGUAUGUUUGGAUAUGGCGCAUGGCUGGGAUUGGCCAGAGAGGCGAUCGAUCCGUGGGUAAUCGCUACCGACCAAUGAGGGAGACUCCCACCGAUCCAUCCCCGCCAGCUGCUCACGAUUGAUUCCGCGGGCCACCCGAUGUCGACGGACGGGCGGACGAGAUGGGGCAAAGACCAUGGAGAUCCAUCCCAAGCAUAUCUGUGCUUCUUCCUUCCGGCCAGCUCCCCACGAUCAAUUCUGCGGGCCGUCAGAUGUCGAUGGACGAACGAGAUUGGUUAAAUAGACAGUGUCGAUCCAUGGGUAAAGUCCAUUGACCAAUUAAGAGUCCGCUGCAUUUACGCCGCUCGUCUCUCAAAAUUUGUGUCUCCUUGCUCAAAAGUAAGUUUUGAAGACAAGAGAAAAGAAAAGGAAAGAUAAUAUUGAAAAGAGGCGAAUCCCAUUCCCAUCCCCCACCCAUCUCUCUCCAUGACCAUUACCAGGAGGAGCAGGACGACGCCAUGGAAGGGUCACCAACAACUCCGGUCUUCUCCAUGGACAUGGAGGUCCUCCGCUGCACUCCCUGAUGCAUCAAGCGCGCAGGCAUACAAGGAGGCUCUGCUUCUUCCCAGGUCGCCAUGGAAGGUAUGCUCUGCUCUGCUUGUCAACGCCCAUCUAUCCGUGUUUGCUUGCUGCUGCAACUUGUAUUCGGACGGAGCUAGACAAAACUGCAAAAAUCACAUACUUUUACUUCCUUUUUCAGAAAAAACUAACAAGUCUGCAGAUUAUUCUUCAGGUUGAUACUAAAUUGGCAAUGUUGCUGUUCGGACCCCGCUGCCGCUGCGGACGCCAUGGAGCCCGUCCAGGUAUCUCACUCUGCUCUCUCUCAUGUCCCGGCCAUCAAUUACCCGGAGGUGUUGCCUCUUUUCACUAGUGCAACCGUGCGUGUGCGUGUGCGCGCGUGUGUAGUACUCCCUCCGUCUCAAAAAAAGUGACUCAACUUUGUACUAAAGUUUGAACAAAGUUGAGCCACUUAUUUUGGGACGGAGGGAGUAUGAGAUUCAACAAGACACAAUGAGCUCUUGUAGCGAUGAUUCUUCUGCUGGUCACACAAGUGAGCCUAUCUAUGCUUGUUUUGUCUUGGCUCGAUUGAUUCCAACACUUAACUUUCAGUUUUGCAACUACAAAUUAAGAGAUCGAUUUGGGGGAGGUGAGGUACACGAAUGAUAGUAGGCCAGAUUCAGACUUGUAUUCGAGAGGAAAUUCAUAGUUUCAGUUUCGCAACACACGCCCACACAUAGCAACAGCCAGAUUCAGACAUGUGUUGGAGAGGAAAUUCAGAGUAAUCUGCUUGCCUAUGUGCUAGGCUUGCAUGUCAAUUGUCUCAUAACCGAGCCAUUGGUCCUGGGUUUAGUUAGGACGUGUAAUUCAGCUCCCUUGUUGCUACUGCUCCAAUCAUAUAGGCUGCCACAUAUCAUCAUGCUUUCUACUGUAGUAAUGUUCUCUUCUCAUGUUCAUCUCUACCCCAUGUGUGUGUUGUGCUCUUGACAUGUCCGCACGAAAUCACCAAUGCGUGUCUCUGUGUUGCAAAUGUGUUCUCAACAUUUGCUAUUGUUUGGGCUUAGACAGCUCGAUUGCCCGCUGUUUUCAGGAUCAUUGCCUUAUGCUAAAAUACUCCUAUUCUUUUGCCUUAUGCUAUUGUUUCAGGAUCAUUGACAUGAUUUCCUUUUUUCUCUCAUUAUAAUUGGAGCUCAAGAUUUUCCAUUUGACUCAAGAUUUGUUAUUUAUCAUGUCCUUGUGCAGCAGCAUGAUUGAUUCGGUACUGCAUCAUCCCCGGUUAAUGCAGAGGACAAGGGGCUCAUCGUGUGUGUCUCCCUUCGACCAACGAGGCACGACGUUGUUCGGCACUGGCUGCAAAAUAAUCACGGUGAGCUUGUCAACGCCCAUCUAUCCGUGUUUGCUUGCUGCUGCAACUUGUAUUCGGACGGACCUAGACAGAACUACAAAAAAUCUCAUACUUUUACUUCCUUCUUCAGAAAAACUGACAACUCUGCAGAUUAUUCUUCAGGUUGAUACUAACUUGGUAAUGUUGCUGUUCCGAGACCCCGCUGCCGCUGCGGACGCCAUGGAGACCGUCAAGGUAACUCAGUCUGCUCUCUCUCAUGUCCCGACCAUCAAUUACCAAAGUCUUCCAGUAUGAGAUACAUGCCGAUUAGAGCAACAACAAAACGACACCAAAAAUAUCACUUUUCACUAUGAAAAAAGCUCCAUUUUUCAUACCCAAGUCUUCACAUGUAUUACAGAAAGAAAAAAACAACUCUGAAAAAGCUCCAUGUAUCUCAUACCGAAAUCUUCACAUGAGCAAAUUCCUUCAAAAACUAAAAUAAAAUACUGACACGAGCAUGCAUAGCAAAUCUUACAAUUUGAGGGAGCACUAGGAAACUUGAUACUCCAUAUUUUGCCUGCUUGCUUGCUUGCUGCAACUUAUCUUCACAGACAGACAAAACUGCAGAAAUCUGAAACUUUUAGUUCCUUCCUUCUUCAGGAAACUGAAAACUCUGCAGCAGAUUUAUCUUCAGGUUGAUGAUACUAACCAAGCAUACUAACUUGAUAAUGUUGGUGUCCUCAGGCGCAGACUGUUGUGUGCCGCCUCUUCCAUGGGCGUCCACGCCAUGGAGCUCCUUAAGGUAUCUCUUAUGUCGUGUGUGUCCCGGCCAUCAAUUACGUACCCAUAGAUGCUGCUUGUUUUCACUAGUGCAACAAUUUGUGUGUGUGUGCCCAGUAUGAGAUUUGACAAGACAACAUGAGCUCUUGUAGCGAUUCCCACAUGCUAGCCUUUCUAUGGCAAUUAUGUCUAGUCUUAUUACAUCACUUUGUAUGGAGCGUACAACUUUGUUUGCUACAGAAUAUAUAGCACCAUCCUGAAAUACUACUCUACUAUUUCGUUUGUGAUCACGCCCCUGUACAACAAGCCUUCCAAUCUGCUAAGUUUUGCCUCUCUUGCUGUAUGUAUGUAUAUGUAUGGGCAAAAUGAUGACAGGUGCAAACCCGAGCUGCCUGCCAUGUCGUUUAUAAUAAACACACACUAGUAAUAGUAAGAUAACAUGAUAUUCAAACUGCGUAAGUUUGCAAUUUCUCUCUCUUGCACUGGUAACACUAUCACAUAUACUCCCUCUGUAAACAAAUAUAAGUGUGUCUAGAUCACUAAAGCGGUGAUGUAAACGCUCUUAUAUUUCUUUACAGAGGGAGUACUAGUUAUGUAUUUCCAUUUCUUAAAUGCUGCCAUGUCCAUUGGUGUGACUCCAUUUCUCUGCUUUGACGUUGAUGUUUGCCCAACAGAGACCCUCAAUGAUGACAGGUGGAGUGCAGGACAUUGAGGACAUGAUAUGAACCGCCGUUCCAGACGCCCGCCUCAGGGAAGGAGCACUCCAUCCCGCUGAUAACAAUGUUUUGAAAGAGGAGAUGACGGAUUUGGUGGAGGAGAGGAACUCCCUCAAGGACGAAAAGAGGAGCCCUGUGUACAGAAAAGUAUGUGAUGUUUUAUCGAAUCACCAUCGCAGCAACCUUACUAUGGCCUGACGUUCCCUUUUGUCGACGGUCUUGACUGUAACUCAAGUGCUUGUGAUGUUGCAUUCUGGCAGCUUGUGAUGCUGCUUUGUCAAGUGCUUGUGNNN
rnacentral:lncRNA from 1 species